AGAAACUUAGGAUAAUAUUUUAAACCAGGGGCCUUCAACCCCCCAAAUAAGAGCCAAACAACUCUUAGUUUCUGCAACCACCCAU
rnacentral:tRNA from 1 species